CAUAUCUAUUCUUGUACCAUAUCUAUUUUCUUAUUUACAGAUAUAGUAUGAGGCCCACAACAGUUGCUUAUGUUCAUAAGCAAUAAGAGCUAGGAUUUCAACCCAAAGACUGCCAUCAAGUCUCACAGCUUUCUUUUUGUUGAAAAAAAGGGGGCAUGGAGUAGAGGAAGAAGCAAGCAGAAGAAAUGAGGAGAAGCUAGAGAAAGAAGAAAAAAAUGGGAUUCUUUCUACUGAAAUUUCUAAAUGUGGAACUCAUUGUCUGUACUGGCUUUGAGGCAGAAAAAAAAAACCUAAGAGUUUAAAUAUUUGUUGAAGUCUGGAUUUCUCCCUGCACCCGUCCCCCCAUUCCCUCUAGUAAAAUUAAAGCUGAAGCUAGCAGUUCAUGUCUAGCUCUUGAAAUGUCA